UAAGCGGAGGAAAAGAAACUAACAAGGAUUCCCCUAGUAACUGCGAGUGAAGCGGGAAAAGCUCAAAUUUAAAAUCUGGUGGUCUUUGGCCAUCCGAGUUGUAAUUUAGAGAAGCGUCUUCCGCGCUGGACCGUGCACAAGUCUCCUGGAAUGGAGCGUCAUAGAGGGUGAGAAUCCCGUCUUUGGCAUGGACACACCAGGGCUUUUGUGAUGCGCUCUCGAAGAGUCGAGUUGUUUGGGAAUGCAGCUCAAAAUGGGUGGUGAACUCCAUCUAAAGCUAAAUAUUGGCGAGAGACCGAUAGCGAACAAGUACCGUGAGGGAAAGAUGAAAAGCACUUUGGAAAGAGAGUGAAACAGUACGUGAAAUUGUUGAAAGGGAAACGCUUGAAGUCAGUCACGUCGACCGAGACUCAGCCUUGCCUCGGCUUGGUGUACUUCUCGGCUGACGGGUCAGCAUCAAUUUUGCCCCUUGGAUAAUGGCGAGGGAAAUGUGACACCUUUAUGGUGUGUUAUAGUCUCUCGUCGCAUGCAAGGGUUGGGAUUGAGGAACUCAGCACGCGCCUUUUGGUGUCGGGGCUUUGCCCACGAUACGUGCUUAGGAUGUUGGCAUAAUGGCUUUAAACGACC
rnacentral:rRNA from 1 species